rnacentral:rRNA from 1 species
CUGUUUUGAAAGAUUUCUUCGGAAUGAAUUUGAUUUAGUUUAGUGGCGGACGGGUGAGUAACGCGUGAGUAACCUGCCUUCAAGAGGGGGAUAACAUUCUGAAAAGAAUGCUAAUACCGCAUGACAUAUCGGAACCACAUGGUUUUGAUAUCAAAGAUUUUAUCGCUUGAAGAUGGACUCGCGUCCGAUUAGUUAGUUGGUGAGGUAACGGCUCACCAAGACCGCGAUCGGUAGCCGGACUGAGAGGUUGAACGGCCACAUUGGGACUGAGACACGGCCCAGACUCCUACGGGAGGCAGCAGUGGGGGAUAUUGCGCAAUGGGGGCAACCCUGACGCAGCAACGCCGCGUGAAGGAUGAAGGUUUUCGGAUUGUAAACUUCUUUUAUUAAGGACGAAACUUGACGGUACUUAAUGAAUAAGCUCCGGCUAACUACGUGCCAGCAGCCGCGGUAAUACGUAGGGAGCAAGCGUUGUCCGGAUUUACUGGGUGUAAAGGGUGCGUAGGCGGCUUUGCAAGUCAGAUGUGAAAUCUAUGGGCUCAACCCAUAAACUGCAUUUGAAACUGUAGAGCUUGAGUGAAGUAGAGGCAGGCGGAAUUCCCCGUGUAGCGGUGAAAUGCGUAGAGAUGGGGAGGAACACCAGUGGCGAAGGCGGCCUGCUA